rnacentral:rRNA from 1 species
UUUCCGGUUGAUCCUGCCGCCGGCCACCGCUAUCAAGUUCCGACUAAGCCAUGCGAGUCAAGGUAUCGUAAGAUGCCGGCAAACUGCUCAGUAACACGUGGAUAAUCUAACCUUGAGUAAGGGAUAACCUCGGGAAACUGAGGAUAAUACCUUAUAAUUGCUUAAAACUGGAAUGUUUAAGCAAUAAAAGUUCCGACGCUCAAGGAUGAGUCUGCGACCUAUCAGGUAGUAGGUGGUGUAAUGGACCACCUAGCCUCAGACGGGUACGGGCCCUGGGAGGGGUAGCCCGGAGAUGGACUCUGAGACAUCAGUCCAGGCCCUACGGGGCGCAGCAGGCGCGAACACUGUGCAAUGCGCGAAAGCGCGACACGGGGAGCUUGAGUGUCUUGGCAUAGCCAAGACUUUUCUCAUUCCUAAAAAGCAUGAGGAAUAAGUGCUGGGUAAGACGGGUGCCAGCCGCCGCGGUAACACCCGCAGCACAAGUGGUGGUCACUUUUAUUGAGCCUAAAGCGUUCGUAGCCGGUUUUGUAAAUCUUUAGAUAAAGCCUGAAGCUUAACUCCAGAAAGUCUGAAGAGACUGCAAGACUUGAGAUCGGGUGAGGUUAAACGUACUUUCAGGGUAGGGGUAAAAUCCUGUAAUCCCGGAAGGACGACCAGUGGCGAAAGCGUUUAACUAGAACGAAUCUGACGGUAAGGAACGAAGGCUAGGGUAGCAAACCGGAUUAGAUACCCGGGUAGUCCUAGCUGUAAACACUGCCCAUUUGAUGUUGCUUUUCCGUUGAGGGAAGGCAGUGUCGGAGCGAAGGUGUUAAAUGGGCCGCUUGGGAAGUAUGGUCGCAAGACUGAAACUUAAAGGAAUUGGCGGGGGAGCACCGCAACGGGAGGAGCGUGCGGUUUAAUUGGAUUCAACGCCGGA